GAGGACCUAAUGAUAGACAGUGCAGUCAUCCAUAAAGUAGAAAGCACUACUAAACCAUUCAACCCAGUGUAGUGUUUCCUACUUUAUGGAUGAGUGCACUGUGAGCUUCUGAGAGAAGAC
rnacentral:pre_miRNA from 17 species